rnacentral:rRNA from 1 species
GAUGAACGCUGGCGGCGUGCCUAAUACAUGCAAGUCGAGCGAACGGACGAGAAGCUUGCUUUUCUGAUGUUAGCGGCGGACGGGUGAGUAACACGUGGAUAACCUACCUAUAAGACUGGGAUAACUUCGGGAAACCGGAGCUAAUACCGGAUAAUAUUUUGAACCGCAUGGUUCAAAAGUGAAAGACGGUCUUGCUGUCACUUAUAGAUGGAUCCGCGCUGCAUUAGCUAGUUGGUAAGGUAACGGCUUACCAAGGCAACGAUGCAUAGCCGACCUGAGAGGGUGAUCGGCCACACUGGAACUGAGACACGGUCCAGACCCCUACGGGAGGCAGCAGUAGGGAAUCUUCCGCAAUGGGCGAAAGCCUGACGGAGCAACGCCGCGUGAGAGAUGAAGGUCUUCGGAUCGUAAAACUCUGUUAUUAGGGAAGAACAUAUGUGUAAGUAACUGUGCACAUCUUGACGGUACCUAAUCAGAAAGCCACGGCUAACUACGUG